UUUCCGUAGGUGAACCUGCGGAAGGAUCAUUAUUGUAUAACGGAGGUGCGAGGGCUGUCGCUGACCCGAAAGGGCCUGCACGCCCGAGUGCCCUCACACACAUCCAUCUCACCCCGAUGUGCACCACCGCGUGGGUCCCCCUUUGGCUUGUUCGGAGGGGGGCGUACGUUUUCACACAAACUUUGUAUGCAGUGUAGAAUGUAUUUUUUGUUUUUGCGAUCACGCAAUCAAUACAACUUUCAACAACGGAUCUCUUGGUUCUC
rnacentral:misc_RNA from 1 species